AAUUAGUAACAACGAUUGGCCAUCUGGUCAGAAUGGGCAAAUUAUAUGAAAGACUUACUGCUUAGUUUAUUUCCAUUUUUCUCUACAUGUAGUUGUUUUAGUGGAGAAGACAAAAUGUUUAAAGUUGAGAGAUCUAUGGACGACAGACGGACGGACGAAUGAACGGACUCAAAGUGUUGACAAAGCGUUAAAAGGGAGGUACAAAUGUUAAUACGUAUUCUAAAAGGUUUGGCAAUUGUCACAAUGUCACCUUUUAUACAAAAUGUAUGUGUUCGUGCCUCAAGUUAAGAGUUUCAUUAAUGUCUGGAAGAUUUUAAUGGAGCUGUAUAGAUCUUCUGUGGUCACAAAUUGUAUUACAGCAAAACUAACGGGAUGACUUCAUAAACCCAUCCUCUGUUUGUUAUUCAUAAUGGUUCAUAUAUAUUUGCGUCGACUUAACAAUCGAUACCAGCACUGUAUAAACUUUUCGACAUACAAUGACUAAAUUAAAUUUGACAUUUCAAUUAAACUGUGUAUUAGUUUACUAUGAACGUCGAGUUAAUCAAGUACAUAAGUGUUGAAAACCGUCACGCUAAAUGCCUAAGAAUCCCGAAUAAAAAGUAAUAAAUCGCCAUCAAAGGGACGUGUUGGUAGUUAUUCUAUAUAUUGAGGAUUUUGUCAAAUCAUUGAAGUCGUCUGUCAUUGCAGUUAAAAGAACUGAUUUGAAGAUAUAUACCUUGGAUACGUAAAUGUUUGAACUGAGGCGGUUGACCUUCAUCGCCAAACAAGUUCCGAAAAUGAAGAUCGCGAGAAGGAAUAUACAGAGAAAAAUUUGCCCCAAGUAGCAGUAUUUGAUCCUGUAACGAAUUUGGUGUUAGAUUCUAAAAGGAUAAGCGUGGAGUUUUGUUUAAUUAAGAGGAAAAUUAAGCACGAUAUUUCAAUCUUUCGUAACAGUUUCCGAGUUUUAAACUUAUUUCUGUGGUGCAUGAUAAUUUAAAAGGAAAAAGUUGUGAGAAACUUUUCUUGGUGUCUAAAGUUAAUAUACCGAAAGAUACAGAAUUGGUUUUGGACUAUGGAUAGACCUUGAGAGAUAGGAUUCUAGGAAACCCUUGAAUGACCGGAUAACCUGUCGCUUCUAAAUUAAAUGUAAAAUGUCAAUUAUCAAUUGAGGCUAUAAAUUGUACAUGUACAGUGACAAAUGAUAACAGUGUGAAUGUGAAAAAUUGUGAGCUCUGCACAUCGUCCUCAAGCAAUUUUCGUGCUAAUGGCAGAAUAAAGUAAUUAAAAUAGCUGCCAAGGGGGAAAUCAUCAGAAAUUUAUGUAAAGAGGAACCUCCUAAAAGAAAAGACAAUUCUGAAACAAAAUCAACUAAUGUACAAAAGAUUGAUGAAACUCAUCAACAAAGGACAAACAACACAAAAACCUCUUAUGUUGUCCCGAAAAUACGUCAGAUCAAGCACAGAAAUUUACUAAAGGCGAAUUUUCAAAAUUAAUGCUGGAUAGAAGCAAUAUGCAUCUCGAUAUUUUGAAAUAUAUUCAAAAUUGUUCAACUACAUUAAAUUAAUGCCAAAAGUAGGAGACCCCGCGAAUAGUUGUGAGGACUAUGCUGAUAAAACUAGGAAUUUUACUUAGGAGCAAAGAUCAUCAAUCCUAAAAUAUUUAUGUGACAAUGUUCAUCCAAUCACCUUGCAACACCUUGAUGUACAUGUACCAAGUCUAAUUCAUGUCACUAUUACAUGCACUUUGAUACACAGACCAUCCAACUUUGAUUCAGGCUUUUUACAUCAUAUGGCUGAUCUAGAUGCUGUUUUAAGAGCACAGUCUGUACUGUUUGUGAUUGAAGAAGAUGUGGAAACAAAGCCAGAUAAUCUGUGGAGUCAUACAGAAAUUCUGUUUAAUAUGUCCCGAAACACAAACUUCAGCGAAGACCUACUUUAGAAAAGAUGCAUGGCAGCUUGUUUUAAAUACUCUCAAAGUAUUAGAAGAUAUGUAUAUUAGUAACACUCAGAAGUAUUAUGAUAAGAUUUCUCCAUGCCAGACAAGAAAAGGCAAAGCUUUAAUAGGUCCAGUUGAAGAAAAAAGAAGUGUAUAUUCCUUUACAAGUGAGGAAUUUUCUCCAUUAAAAGCUAGGAAAGCUAAGAAAUCCUUUACAAGUGAGGACAGUAUUCCAUUAAAAGGUAGGAAAGCUAGGAAAUCCUUUACAAGUGAGGACAAUUCUCCAUUAAAAGCUAGGAAAUCCUUUACAAGUGAGGAUAGUUCUCCAUUAAAAGCUAGGAAAUAUCUUACAACUGAAGAUAGUUCUCCAUUAAAAGCUAGGAAAUCCUUUACAACUGAGGACAGCUCUCCAUUAAUUGCUAGGAAAUCCUUUACAAGCAAGGACAGUUCUCCAUUAAAAGCAAUACAAGGAAAAAGAAGUGUGGACAAUUCUUCAUUAAAAGCUAGGAAAUCCUUUACAAAUGAAGAUAUAGUUUUCCAUUAAAAGCUAGGAAAUCCCUUACAAGUGAAGAUAGUUCUCCAUUAAAAGCUAGGAAAUCCCUUACAAGUGAAGAUAGUUCUCCAUUAAAAGCUAGGAAAUCCCUUACAAGUGAAGAUAGUUCUCCAUUAAAAGCAAUAAAAGGAAUGCCCACCUUCUUAGUUAUAAAAGCAAAAGAAAUGAAAGCUGAAAUUAUAGAGUAUCUGCAGAAUUAUAAGCCAUUUAAAUCAUUGCCAAAAGUUGGAGAUCCUGUUUAACCAUUAUGUUGACAACACUAGAGGCAUAUCUGAGGAAGUCAGAGAUGAAUUAACUUCAUAUCUCAGCUUGACAUAUAAAGACAUUGUUCAAUCUAUCUGUCAGUUCUGACAUUCCAUCUAUGAUGCACAACACUAUAUCAUUCAUAAUACAUCAUUCAGGAAACAAAGAUUUAAAUAAUCCAAUAGAUGUUUGCCAAAAUUUAGAAAGGAUCCGUGAAACUACUGGAGAAUAUGAAAGGAUUGGUAAAAAUACUAAAAAGGAUGCAAUUACAGGACUUAUUAAUCAUUCAUCGACAAAAGAUAAAAAAUCAGAAAUAGGCAGAAAAAGAUCAGGAAAUAAGAAAAUAGAUGCAGCAGAAUCCAAGAAGUGUACAGUAAGACUGACUGAUAUUGGUACUAUUAAAAACUUGAAAACAUAUGUAAACAAGACAGAGAAAAAAAGAAAAAGAAGGAAGAUAUGUGUAAAGAACUUGUAAAAAAAAAUGUUAAAUGUUAAAGGGGCACUAGCUGUCAAAUUCAUGUUCACCGACUUUACUUAAUUUCUAGUAUUUGAUUUAUAAUAAUGAAUAAUGUUAACAUUUAUCCAACCUAUUUAAAGUCUAAAAAAAAUUAUUAAGAGGACACGGUAUAAAAUUACAUUUCGUGUGUUCGCAGUCUAGACCGCCAUCUAAUUAAUUAUUGAGUUGACCUCUAAAGUCUUUCAAUGACCAUAUAAGCGAUGUAAACAUAAAUAUAGAUAUAAAUAGAUCAAGCAAAUUCAUGCUCUUGGAUUAUUCUAGGUCUAUUUAAUUUUAUAUUAUAGAUGAAACAUUAAUGUUUAUCAUCGUUUUUAUCUGUAUAAGAAUGAUUUUCUGUGGAUCAAAUCAGUCAAUCAAUUGAUUUACCUUUGUUUCACUUUCAAUGUUGAUAUUCUUUUCCUUUAAAUAAUUUUACACAUUCAAUUCAUGUGUUAUCCAUUUCAAGCUAAGGAGUUAAAUUGAAGUUCACAUUAAUACAAAUUCUAUGAGGUUGAAUUAUUCACUUGCAAGUGAAUAAUUCAUUAUCAAUGAUUUUAGCUUAUUUUGACAGAACUAAAUCAUACUUGCUGCUAAAAGCGAAUUAUUAUUUCACCAUUGUAUUUCAUUAGUGAUUGAGCAAAAAAAAUAAUAUAUAAUUUUUUUAUAUAUAUAUCUCGUAGCUAG